CCCAUAUGUAGACUUUGAACGUUGCACUCUGCGCCUGUGUGAUUUUCGUCAAAAUUCUGGUGGACAUAGAAAAUAUAAAUGAAUUUGGAGUGUAAUCAGAGUUUUUUGGAACACAGCGCGGUUCGAAUGUAAUAUGGUUUAAUGUUAAGUGCAUCGGAAUUGCUAACAAUUUAAUAACGAAAGUAAAGUGAAUUAAUUGUUCUGCUUUAUUGUUUGUAUCUGUUCGGAACGUUCGUGAUACGCCGUCAAGUGUUAGCAAUAUUUUUAAUUUCUAUUAGAAUUUUAAGUUAAAAAAAAGCUAAAAGUUCCUUUAUUUCCGUUUACCUACUAAGUUAAAACCCAACACUGCUCAUAACAACUCGCAUACAGAUAACAUCGUUAAAGUUUAAUUUCCGGCAACGAGUUUGAAAGUGCACACAAAUGCGUCAUAUAUAAUUCAAUCAAAAUUGAAAUUGAAAAACCAAGCCAACUACAGUUAAAAGCAAAUCUACAAACAGAAAACUAUAUUUGCCACGCAAACAUUGCAAACGCUUGUGACCGUGAAAUUCACUACGAAAAUACGUUUCAAAUACGUCGCACAGUUUAUAUAAAUAUAUACACAUAAUCCUAUUAAAAAUUUGUUCAACAUGACGCACUGGGAGGAUUUUUAUAAUACACAUUUACCGCCAACUGAUUUCGAGGAUAAUCGUUCGUUAUUGAAAGAAUUCUGUGAACGACACAAUAAACUACAGAACCGUAUCGUCCUUAUUACGUCAGGUGGGACCACAGUACCUCUGGAGCACAAUACCGUACGCUUUGUGGAUAAUUUUAGUGCGGGCACACGUGGCUCAGCAUCCGCUGAAUAUUUCCUCGAUCAUGACUACGCCGUUAUAUUUAUGUACCGCGUCAAGUCACUGGAACCGUUUACACGUCACCUUACCGGCCAACAAUUUUUUGAUAUGCUCGACAUUACCGAUAAUGGGCAGAGUACAUCGAUUACGGUGAAACCGGAUUCAGUUGAUGUAUUCGCACCAAUAUUAGCCAAAUAUAAACAAGCCCGCGAAUCUCAAAUGAUUUUGUAUGUUAACUUUAAUACGGUGGCGGACUAUUUGUGGCUAUUACGUGCCGCCUGUGAAUGCUUAGCGGCUUUCGAGGAGAGAGCGUUGCUAUAUUUAGCAGCGGCAGUGUCGGAUUUCUACGUUCCUCAGGAUAUGAUGCCUACACACAAAAUACAGUCCGGUCAAGGUGCACCGACAAUCUCGUUGCAGUUGGUGCCAAAAAUGCUAGCGCCAUUGGCAAGUCUCUGGGUGCCACAUGCAUUUGUUGUCUCAUUCAAGCUGGAAACAGACGAGAAUUUAUUGAUUACCAAGGCGCGCGAUAGUCUAUACAAGUACAAUCAUAAGAUGGUUAUUGCGAAUAUUCUACAAACACGUAAACAUCGCGUCGUUUUUGUUACGCCAACCAUGUCGUACGAAGUGCAUCUGAGCAGAGAGCAAGCGCUGCAAGGACUCGAAAUUGAGGAGCCGAUUGUUGCCGAUCUCGUGAAAAGGCACAGUGAAUACAUAAACGGAGCAUCAACGAAUCGACAAUGACCACAAUCGUUGCGGCAAAGACGUCACAUGCAGGUCGACUGUCGCGUGACAACACCACAUUUUUGUCGUCUAUUGAAUCCAGGACCAGGCGUCGGCCGUAAAUAUUAAUUUAAGCUGCUUUUACAGGGUGCCAAAAAGCAUCUAAUAUAAGUAAAUUACUCGCCUGGUAAAUGCUGAAAAUCAGAGGUGACUUACAAAAAAUUUUCACCACACUUCGUUUUAGGGUCUAUUUAACAUUUUUUUUUAUUUUUAUUUUAAUAUGAAUUAACAUCUAAAGAGAUAAACAGGGUACCAGAAAUCCCGCUAUAAGUGGCAUUGCAAACGUUAAGCUUUGGGGAGAGGAAGGCCCACUCAGCCGAUUCCGCACAUAGAGCUGGAGAAAGUUUAAGGAGAUAAGGAGAGUCAUGCAACAGUUCCCAUGAACAACGAACGUUCUUAGAUGUAUAGUCUGUAUUUGGAUCCUCUCAAGGAGUAUUUCUUAAGCAUAAUUUCAUGGAGAUGAUGAGCUGGAGAAAGUUUAAGGAGAUAAGGAGAGUCAUGAAACAGUUCCCAUGAACAACGAAUGUUCUUAGAUGUAUAGUCCGUAUUUGGAUCCUCUCAAGGAGUAUUUCUUAAGCAUAAUUUCAUGGAGAUGCUUCGAAGAAUCUUUUAUAUGGAUUAUACACCCCCAAUCUUUCUCCCUCGUACAAUUUUAUUUAAGGAUUAUUUAAUUAUUUUAGGUUAAAAUUUCAGGGAAAAUCAUAUCAGAAAUUUUCUAUGGUUUUUUUAUAUCCUAUUUCAGAAACAUUCUCUAUUUAAUUGUAAGAUUUUUUUAUGCAGUUUUUACUAUGAUUUUAUAAAGCGCGAUUUACUGUUUGAACUUAUUUUUUAAUACUUUUCUGAGUAUGAAAUAUUUAUUAAAUUAUAUUAUGUAUAUGUAUAAUAUAUUAUUUAUAUUAAAUUUUAAUAUGUGAGUGAGUUUGAGGAUUUGAGAGUUUUAGGGCACCUCUCCAAAUUACCUACUCAAUAUCAAUGAAUUUAAAUUUUAACGGCACAUUUGGCAUGCUAAUCAACAUAUUCUUAAAGAAAUUAUCUGUUGGAUAAUGAAAUUCGAUUUGAAAAUUUCGUACCAAUCUGGCAAUACCCAAUUCGAUUUCUAAAUAACUAAUGCGACGACCCAAACAACCUCUCGGACCGGCACCAAAUGGCAAAAAUGUAUAGGCACUGCUGGCUUUCAAUGACUUAGUGUCUUCAACAGUAUCGCUACUCGAACGCAUCCAACGUUCCGGCAGGUAUUCUAAUGGACGUGCAUAAUGUUUAUCACUUUUCAGUAGAGUUGAGUAGAUCAUGCUAACCACAGUGCCCUUGGGUACUCUAUAACCGCUCAGCACAACGUCGUUUUGUGGCACACGCAUGUUUCCAAUAGCCACGGGAUGCAAACGCAGUGCUUCCUUCACGCAGCCGCGCAGAUAUGGCACCUUACUAAGCGUAUCAGCUGUGAAAUCGCCAUCCUUUUGUGGUAGUAUACGUCUGACUUCUUCGCGUAGUUUUGCCUGUUUGUCGGGGUUCUUGGCCAAACACAGUAGUGUAGCAGUCGUUAGUGAAGUGGUCUAUAGUAAUAACAGUAAAUAUUAAGUUUUGGAAUAUCUUGAAAUUUCCAUAAUUACCGAAUCAACACCGCCCAGCAAUAGAUCCAUGGCCAUCACUGUAGCGAUUUUCUUAUCAAUUUUCAGUAAUUUCUCCAAAAUGCUUUUUUCACUCUCUUUAUGUUCUACGCCCAGUUCGCGCUCCGCUUCUAGCUUAGCAAUUGCCUCAGUCGUAUGCUUCCACGUUACACUUUGUAUGUCAUCCAAUGCUUGCAUUAGUCGUUUAAACUUCGGUGUUGCCACAAGACGCCACAACGAUGGUGUGUAUUCCAAGUCCAGUGUGAGUGCGAGCCACUCCGUUAAGGCUUUGAACAGUUUAGAAGCAUCAGCGAAAUUUUCGCUAUUUUCACGCAGCAAGCCGAGCUGCUUGUCCAGUGCGACGAGAGCCACCGAUUCCAGUGUCCAACGUUGGAUGUACUGUUUAAAGUCGUCUGGCAUUUCCAAAGUUUUGGGGUCGCGUAUCAAACGGAUUCUGUGGUAGUUAAAAUAAAUAAAUGGACGUUCGAAAGUUCUUUUUCUAAAUAUUUACCUUUCCACAAAUUCAAGAUUCACCUGCGCCAUUUUGUUGAUAUACAUUUUAAUAUUCUUCGGUUGUAGUAGCAAUGGAUUAACAACCGUUCGAAAUGAGCUCCAUUGCUCACCAUGUCUGUUUGAUGGAAGAAUUAAGUAAAUUUUUAUAGGUUAGUUUGAAAAAGGUCUGAAGUUGUUUGGGGUAGAUUUCUGUAGUACUUAUAGGACCUAAAUUUGAAUUUUCUUUCUUUCUGUGGAACUGAGCACAUAAUUUAGUAAUUCAGUGGCGGUCCAUAGGGAAUCCGGUCUUUACAAACUCAAAUAGGUAGUUAAUAUCAGUUCGGCAUUUAAUGUGAGUUUGUUGCAAAUGGGACAAACGAUUUGGUUCAUCGAUGGAGUUAAGAAAAGGGAUUAAGAAGUACUGAAAUACAGAAAUCGACUGAAAAUAUUCAUCUAAUUAUACUCCUACUUUUUGUUCCUCUUAUUCUUGACUAUAUUAUUAUUAUUACUUUACAACAUUAUUUAUUAACUUAUUCUUCAAAUUCAACGCUUUUCACCAAAACCCGCGAAACAUUCCGCCCCUCGAAUUAAAUACUAAAUAUUUACGUUGCAAGUAUUCCCUCGACGUUCUCAUAGAAAUCAGCGCGCAGCUUAUUGCGAUGAUAACGCAAAGUCACCGAAUUUGGACGCAUUGGCCAGGCGCCCUCAUUGCGGAAGACACGCUCAAAAUCAAGUGGACUGUGUGUAUAUAAGGCAUCGGGACGGCCGAACAUGCCAGGCAUUAUAUAAAUGUCGCCAUAAUCCUUUUGCAUUGCCUUCACCAAUUGCGCCGAGUCCAAGUUAUAAUAACGGCCGCCGGGCAACAAUUGCCGUACGAAUUUUAAAACGCCAUCUCUGGGCACCUCGCUGAAUGGACGCGCUUGCUGCCACUCCGAGAUUGCAUCGGUUGCUUUGUCCACGGUUGUGUUGGUGGCUGUGUCGGCAGCGGCAGUGCAUUUGUGCGCAUGCUGUUUUGAUAAUGAGAGACGGCACGUGUUAAACAUUUCGUAAUGAUUGUCGAGUUUAUUCAACCAUGCAAAUUAUUAUUAUUUUUCUUUAUUUUUAUAAAUUUUAUUUUUGUUCUUCAGAUUUAAAUAUAAACAUGCAUAUUAUAUCAGUUUAUUUAUUCUUCUUUCUUGUGCGGCGCUUUAUACUCACAUUUUUUAUCUUUGACCAACACCUUGUGUUUGCUCCAAUGACGCUUUUCCCGAGUGACACACAAUUUAAAUUGUAAACUUGCAUUUUGCGAUUACCUUCUCAGUUGAACUACACCCUACCACAGUUUCAGACAUACUAAACUGAUAUUUGGUUACAGCGUGCUGAUUCCUAUAAAAACUCCGUUCUUCUUUCAUAUUUUUCUUAAGAGCUUAAUCCAUCGAGGCUAACACUCAGAAAAUGCCUUUUAUAAGGUAGUCGAAGAGAGUAUGCUUGCGCAAUGUAAAUAUGUAAAAGAAAAAUUGAGGAAUGCUCUACAUUCGUUCGUAACCAAUAUGUGUAUUAAAGCUUAUUGAGCCUCUCAAUACAGCUUGAGGGUCCUUUUUAAUAUUUUACUCCCAAAUAUUUACAUAUUUAUCCUCAAAGAACUUCUUACAAAAGCUAGUUUAUAUCGAGUUCUUUUCGCGGUGUAGUCUUUAUCUUCUUAAUUCUGAUAAACACAGGAAAUCUCUGUUAGCUCAGGUUAGUCUGCAUAGCUAUAUCCCCGGGCGGUUGUUUAAGAAAGUGUGGUCCAAGAAAUCUUUGUCUUGAUCUCUCAAAGGCUGAACAUUCCAUUAGAAAGUGGUGAGAUGAUUCCCCUCGGCCGUUGACAUAGGUCUCCCCAGUUUUUAAUGACGAAAAAGUUGAAAGGAGCAAAAUCUUUUGAAGGUUCUAAACUUCAUUAAACGUUUCAAGACGUGUACCACCAGUUAAAACUACAUUUUUAGCCCCUUUUCCAUGUAGUUGAUAUAUGAGUCUCCUACAUUGAUUUCUUAUUGAUUCCAGAUUUUGAUUAGUUUUCGGGCAUCUUUCGUACUUUAUUUACAAUUUUUGUUUUGUUAAUAUAAUAUUUUUGGUAUAAAAAUUAGUGCAAAGACAAUAUGAAAUGGACGAGGCAUUUUCUGAAUUGUUUAUAUACAAAAUAAAAUACAUACAUAUAUCAUCUUAAUUUAUAUUUUUAACAAAUCAAAUUUAGUCUCUUAGGUGUAGCUUUAUUUGUUAAUUUACUACAUUAGAAACACCAAAAAAGCGAUGAAAACAUCAAAAAUAUAGAAUAUACGAUCUCUAUUCAAUAUCCGUAAAUUUAAAUUUUAACGGUAUAUUUGGCAUAUUAACAAACAUACUUUUGAAUGGCUUAUCGAUGGGAUGAUUAAAAUCAAUUUGGUAAUUUCGAACCAAACGCGCAAUACCCAAUUCGAUUUCCAACUCGCUUAUUCUACGGCCCAAACACACGCGUGGACCAAAACCGAAGGGUAAAUAUAUAAAAGGAUUACUAGGACGCAACGCUUGCGCGCACGUUUCGGCUGACGCGUGCUCUCCGCCUUCCUUCAUUGCACCCGAGCGUAGCCAACGUUCGGGUAAAUAUUCCAGUGGACGUGCAAAGUACUUUUCAUUAGCGUAUAAAGAUGUCGACACCAUAUUCACCACAGUACCUUUUGGAACUCGAUAACCACUGAGUACCAGAUCACUUUGAGUCAUGCGUACUAUACCGACAGAUAGGGGAUAGAUGCGUAUAGCUUCCUUGAUGCAUGCGCGUAGAUAUGGUAUGCUGUUGAGCGCGUCGGCUGUGAAAUCGCCAUCUUUUUGUGGCAACACACGCAAUACUUCUUUGCGUAAGAUUUGCUGCUUUUCUGGGUUCUUUGCCAGGCAAAGUAAAAUCGCCGUCGCCAGUGAGGUGCUCUGCAUAAUAAAUUAAUAAAAAUGUUGAAACUAUUCAUUGAAAGUUUAGUUGGAUCAAUGGUCUACGUAUUUACCGUAUUAAUGCCAGCGAGAAAAAGAUCUAUACACAUCACCGUCGCAAUUUUCUUGUCGAUCUUCAGUAGUCUUUCAAAUGCGCUCAACUCAUUCUCAGACCUCUCGAUACCCUGUUGCUUUUCGGUCUCCAGGCUGCUAAUGGCUUCUUCUAUAUAUUUUAGAGUUAUCGUCUAACGCUUGCAUAAAACGUCUAAACUUCGGUGUGCGAAUGCGACGCCACAAUGAGGGUUUCCACUCCAGACCAUAGGCGAGUGUAAAUACUGUGUUUAAGUUGGCAAUUAAUUUCAGCCCAUCCUCGUAAUUAUCGCUAUGUUCACGCAGCAAACCGAGUUGCUUGCCCAGUGUGACGAUGGAGAGCGACUCCAGCAGCCAACAUUGCAGAUAAUCUUCGAAGUUGUUCGGCAUUUCUUGAGUUUCGCGAUCGCGUAUUAAACGUAUUCUGGGGAAGUUAAUAGGAGAAUAAAAUUACAUCAAUUAAGUAUAUGAAAUUAUUAUUAGACCACCUUUCGACAAAUUCCUGAUUCACUUGCGCCAUUUUACCGAGGUACAUUGGUACAUUCUUGGGUUGCAUUAGCAGUGGAUUGACAGCCGAGCGGAAUGUGCUCCAACGCUCACCUUGUCUGCGAGAAUUGAAACAAUUUAUCUAAUUUUAUUUUAAUAUUUUCAUAGUAAAAUAACAAACUCACGUCGUUAGCACCCCUUCGACCUGCUUGAAGAAAUCUGCUUGCAAUUUAUUGCGAUGAUAGCGUAAAGUCGCAAAGGGUCUUAUGGGUAAUACGCCCUCGUUGCGAAAAACACGCGCAAAAUCUUCUGGAUUGUGUGUGACUACGGUAUUGGGCCGCCCCAAAACAGCAGGCACUAUGAAUAUAUCACCAUGAUCCUUUUUCAUUGCCAUUUCCAAUGCAUUGGAGUCUAAGUUGUAAUAACGACCACCGGGUAAAAAUUUUGUUAACAGUCGGAAAACGCUAUCCCUAGGUACCUCGUUGUAUGGACGUGCUUGUUGCCAUUCCAGCGUCGCUUCUGUGGACUGCUCUAAGUUAAUGGUUGGUUGUGUUGGACAGACAGGUUCCUCGAGCUGUUGAUAUAAUUUGUAUCACUAUUAUUUCUUACAUUGUACAUAUACACAAUGUUAAAAAAAAAUAAAUUUAUCGACCUGUUUUGUUGUCAGCAAACGCCUGCUGAUCGUCGUAAAGCUUUUUGUGGGGCCGCCGUAGUCUCUGAGCGCAAAACAAUUUAUUUUUUUAUAAAUCAUUUUGAAAUUCCAAUUUUUUGAACUUAACACGACCGCCGCUGCAGCUAAACUGAUUUUUCGUAUUUGCAUCCAUUCCCAUAGAACCUAAUUUCUACAUGUGUAUGUAUAUAAAAUAUUUCAUGAAAUUUGUAAAAAAUUGAUAUUUAUUAUUUUUUUUUAUUUCGCAAUUAAUUAGCUACAAUAUAUGUAACUUUUAUUGAAUUUUAUGGGGUUAUUGUCCUCAGCCUCUACAUUUUGCUUCUUUUGAUACUCAAUACCAGAUAACAAUUUUGUAAAAGACACACAUCUUCUUCUUCGAAAGCACUUUGAUUGAUUCUCUCCUUUAAACCAAAGCCAACUUUGGCUUUGCACUGAUAAUGACAUCGGACAAGAGUAUCUCGGUCAGUAAAAAUAUUUCAUAAUAAGCAAGUCAAAGCUUUCAAGGUGCUUUAAAGUCAAUUACAGUUCAUUUUUGCUCUGAGUUCGAAAGCUCCUUGUCUCUCAAUGCAACCAUGAAAUAGUGCGUAGAGAGUAUAAUUUUGACAUUUACUCAUUGAUAUUAGUUAGUUAGCGAAAAUGCCAUUUUUGGGGAACUGAGAAUCUAUUCGAGGUCUAUGAAAAGAAUAAUCGGUUGAGCAAAACCAUUAUUGCUACACAUCUUUUCAAACAAAACGAAGCAGUCAUUGGAAUCUGAUAAACCUUCCCAGAUUUCUGACGCACUUGACGGUUAUCCUGUAAUAAAAAUUUCCUCCGGAGUGGAUAUCUGGCAUCUCUUUAUUCACAUAUUGACUGGCAGCCAAGUCAUUAAUUUUGUAUACGAGUAUAUAGUCUACCAUCCUCUUUUAAAAUUUCACGUUAAUCUUUAUUAAGAAUUAUUAAAAGUAUACUUUUUAUUUUCGAAAGAAUAGUACGUACAUUUGUAUAAUAAUUUAUAUUCCAAAUCCAUGAUCAAUCAAUAUCUGUAAAUUUGAAUUUUAACGGUAUAUUUGGCAUAUUAAUUAACAUGCCUUUAAAUGCCCUAUCCGUCGGGUAAUGAAAUUCCACUUUGAAAUUUCUAAUCAAUCUUGCGAUACCCAAACCCACUUCCAAUUCACUUAUUCGGCGACCAAGACAAAUUCUUGGACCGAAGCCGAACGGUAAAUAAACGAAAGGACUGCUCACUUUUAUCGAUUGCGGACACUCCACUGUAUCUCUCUUCUGUGGUUCAUCCACCUCCGAGUUCGAACGGAGCCAACGUUCCGGUAAAAAUUCCAUAGGACGUGAGUAAUAACGCGCAUCCGAUUGUAAUGGAGCGAAGAUCAUGCUGACGUAUGUGCCUUUAGGCACUUGAUAACCACUUAGUACUAGAUCAUUUACUGGCACACGCAUAUUUCCUAUGGCCACGGGGUAAACACGUAAAGAUUCCUUGAGACAAGCGCGCAAGUAAGGAGCAUGCUUUAGUGGAUCGUCUAUAAAAGCGCCGUCUUUUUGUGGCAGCACACGCAUCACCUCUUCGCGUAACAGCUCUUGUUUUUCGGGAUUCUUGGCUAAACAGAGCAGGGCGCCAACAGUUAAACUGGUGGUCUGUAAUCAAAUUAUUUGAGGUUAGUUAGUUUGAGAGGAACUAAUUUUUUCUUACCGUAUCAACACCCGCCAUAAGCAUAUCCAUAGCCAUGACAGUUGCGAUUUUCUUGUCUUUCUUUAGUAAUUUUUCUAAUAUACUCUGCUCCUGUGUGGGUCGUUCGAUGCCUUGUUGACUUUCCCUUUCAAGUUUCUUAACUGCUUCGGUUAUAUACUUCCAUGUUAUGGCCUGUAUAUCAUCCAUUGAUUGCAUGAGGCGUUUGAAUUUUGGUGUGGCUAUAAACUUCCACAGUGUUGGUUUAUAAUCCAGGUCCAAAGAAAGUGUCAUAAACUCAUUUAACGCAACAAAGAGUUUCAAAGCAUCAGCAUAAUGUUCACUGUCCUCACGCAGCAGACCGAGCUGUUUGUCUAAAGCCACAACAGCCACUGAUUCCAGGGUCCAACGAUGUAAACAUUCCUCAAAAUCAGCGGGCAUUUCUAAGGAUUUCGGAUCGCGUAUUAAACGUAUGCUGUGAGGCACAAACAAUAAUAUUAAUUCCAUGGCAUGAUAUCGCUCUCGACUUACCGCUCGACAAAUUCCUGAUUCACUUGCGCUAAUUUAUUGGUAUACAUCUCAAUAUUUUUCGGCUGCAUAAGCAAUGGAUUGACGACCUUACGAAAAGUGUUCCAUUUUUCGCCUUGCCUGUAAGAACGUCUUUAUUGUCACUAAAAUUCUUAAUUUUUCAUGUAUUCUAAUUUACGUUGAUAUUGUGCCCUCGACGCCCUGAAAGAAAUCUGCGCGCAUUUUAUUCCGAUGAUAACCUAUAGUUUCCGAGAAGGGUCUAUUGGGCCAAAUGCCUUCAUUGCGAAAGAUAUUUGGAAAAUCGUCGGGAUUGUGCGUCACUAUGAUAUCGGGGCGACCCAUCAUGGCUGUCAUCAUGAAAAUAGGUCCGUAAUCGUUGCGCAUAGUUGUCACCAAGUCUUUGAAAUCUAAUUUGGCAUAUGCACCGCCCGGAAAAAAUUUACUAAUCAACUUAAGUCCACCAACACGUGGAAGUUCGCUGAAUGGGCGUGCUUUUUCCCAUUCUAAUGCGGGAUCGGUUUGUUGGCUCGCAGUUGCAGGGGGAUUUGUAGUUGAGAUGGUGUUGAUAUGCUGUGGUUGGAGUGGUUCCUGUCGAAAUUAAAUUGUACUGAUUAUAGAUAUUAUAUUAUGAUUCUAAUAAGUUUUAUGUUUUCUGACUUUUAUGGAUUUUUUUAUGAGAGAGCCACUUUGAGGGUUAUCCGUGUAUACCGAGAAUACAACUUCUCCCUCUCUCACUUCGUUUGAAUAAAAAUAAUUGCUUAUAAAUGAUACAUUAAUUAUAGCCAGAUGAUUCGAAAGGCACGAAAGAAGACAUUUUCAAAUGGAUCCAAGUGAUUGAGGAAAUAUGUAGGUACCAUAUAGUGGCCGAAGUACUAUUGUAGUACUUGAUAUGUAAAAUUCACCUGUUCUGUCACUAGCAAACGAAUAACUGAAGCUCUCUUUAUCGCGCAGCCACCUCUACUUUGUAUUUUUGCGAAAAACAUUUUAAACUUGACACAAUCACUGCUUCACUUGAACUGAAAUUCUUUAAUCUUUACAUUGCAGCUCUUUCAUUGUACAUAUGUACAUAUAUAUGAAGAGCAAUAAACGCAAAUCUUCCGAAUAUAAAUAUUUAUUGCAAUGUUUGUAAGUAUGUAUACUUCGUGAUAAUAUUCGAUGCAGGUAUUUCGGUUCCUCACUUUUAUGGCUACAUAUUACGUUCUUUUUUAGGUAUGGUUAAUUAUAACCAAAGCCAGACAGCCUGCGGAAUAUGUAAUUUGAUGUACCUUAAUGUACCUAAUAAUAGUUAUUAUUUUCAUAAGAUCAACCCAGAUUUCUCAAGUUGAACGAAACCGCUCUCAAAUAUUGGGACUUUUAUUACAUUUUUUCUCGAUUGGACAGAUAAAUGUGCCGACGGUUCAUACUUAAUAUUUAUGAAAUCAAAAAAUGCGUUGCCUUCGUACCUUUAACCCUUGAGAAAUACUCUGCAAUUCUCCUAUAUAAAAGAAAUCCUGUUUCAGAUGAUACCAGUGGUGGCCUAUAUAAUAACCUACGUAAUCAGUAGUAGUUUCAUCACAACUCUCAGUCCUUUUUCCGCCAUUUUCGAUUAAUUUGUAUUAAUGUCCAUCUAUUCUUCUAUUGUCAAUUAUAUUCAAAUUAUCUUUAAACUAAUUGACAGAUCGUACAAGGCUUAAUCUACAAUCUCGGAGCUCAUUAGUAUCUUUACUGAUCCAUAAUAAACCAAUAUGUUUUCCCUCCCACCACUACGUAUCCCUAAGAGAUCCGUUUUAGCCAAUCUUGUUUCAGAAUUUAACUUGAGCUUAUAUUCCUAGACAGUCUUUAAAGGGAUACGAGUGCUAUUCAAUGCCUCGAGCCAGUUUUUCUUAAUUCUCUUGAGCGAUUUUAACCCAUCAGUAGUCCAGCCUUAGAAACAAUGGUAAUACAAUUUAAGGCGUCCGUCCAAAAAAAAAAAAACAUUUAGAGAAAACAAGCUCACAACCUCCAAAAUCAAAUUCCCAAAUUUAAGCAAAUUUAUUAUUUUUUAUUUUUUUUGUAAUUUUUAUAACACAUCGCUUAAAAUCUAAAAUCUAUUCAAUGUCAGUGAAUUUAAAUUUAAGUGGCACAUUUGGCAAACUAAUCAUCGCCGUACGGAAUACAUUCUCCGUUGGAUAAUUAAAUUCGAUUUGGAAGUUUCUAACAAAUCGCGCAAUACCCAAUUCCAGUUCUAAAUCACUAAUUCUCCGACCAACGCACAUUCUUGGACCGAAACCGAAAGGUAUAUAGAUGAAAGGGUUAGUCGGUUUGAGAGAAUCAGCACCCUCGCCAGUUUCCGCCGAACGCAACCAACGCUCCGGCAAGAACUGCUGUGCAUGUGGAUAAUAAUCGUCAUUCGUAAGUAGAUUCGUAGCCACCACACUGACCCAGCUAUUCUUUGGCACUUGAUAACCACUUAAUACCACGUCUUUUGGUAUAACACGUAUAUUGCCGGUGCCUAAUGGAUAGAUGCGUAGCGCCUCCUUGAGACAGGCACGCAGAUAAGGUAUGCGACUUUGAGUGUCGGCGGCAAACUUGCCAUCACGCUGUGGCAGCACGCGCAUGACUUCCUCACGCAAUAACUGUUGCUUCUCUGGAUUCUUAGCCAGGCAGAGUAGAACACCAGUGAUCACUGUGGUGGUCUAUAAUAAAUAGGAAAUGUUUGUUUGGUUGUCAUAAGGUCCAGUUUUGGAACAUACCGUAUCCACGCCCGCCAUGAGCAUGUCCAUUGCCAUAACUGUCGCAAUUUUCUUAUCGAUCAGCAACAAUUUCUCCAGCACACUCUGCUCUUGCUCGGGUCGUACGAUGCCUUGGCGCUGCUCCUCCGCUAGACGCUCCAUGGCCGCAUUGAUAUAUUUCAGUGUCGUAUUCUGUAUAUUAUCCAGUGAGCGCAUGAGUUGCUUGAACUUUGGUGUGGCAAUGUAACGCCAGGGCGAUGGCUUGAAAUCCAAAUCGAAGGAAAUCGUGAAGAAUUCGGACAUGCUCUGAAAAAGUGUCCACACUUCGGCCGGCACAGCGCUAUUCUCACGCAAGAGACCCAGUUGGCGAUCCAAUGCGACGAUGGAGACUGAUUCUAAAGUCCAACGAUGUAGCCAUUUUUCGAAGUCGUCGGGCAUUUCUAGUGUCUGAGGAUCGCGUAUUGUGCGUAUUCUAAAAUAAAUAAGUUACACCAAUGAAUUGUUCUUGUUUUGUGGAUGAGCAAACCUCUCUAUGAAUUCCUGAUUGACUUGCGCCAUCUUGUCGAGAUAAAUUCGGAUAUUUUUGGGUUGCAUAAGUACCGGAUUGACAGCCGAACGAAAUGUGGCCCAUUUCUCGCCGUGUCUAUAAUGUUUAUGAGUGUUUUUUAUAGAAAAGUUUUUAAGAAGUUUUUAAUAUUUCAACCCACGUUGCUAUAAUCCCCUCAACACCCUGAUAGAAAUCAGCGCGCAACUCGCUGCGAUGAUAGUCCAAAGUUAAUGAGCUCGGUCUGUUCGGCCAGACACCUUCGUUGCGAAAGAUUUGCUCAAAAUCAUUGGGAUUCUGUGUCAAAAUUAUAUCGGGUCGUCCCAUCAUGCCGGGCAUAAUGAAAAUAUCCGAAUGCUCGGCAAACAUCGCUCUCAGCAUUUGUGUGGAAUCCAGUUUAUGGUAACGUCCACCUGGCAGAAAUUUAAAUAAGAGACGGAAAGCAU